rnacentral:rRNA from 1 species
CAAUAGCGUAUAUUUAAGUUGCUGCAGUUAAAAAGCUCGUAGUUGGAUUUCGGGUGGGAAUGGCCGGUCCGCCGUUUCGGUGUGCACUUGCUACGCCCACCUUGCUGCCGGGGACGUGCUCUUGAGUUCACGCUCGGGACACGGAGUCGGCGAGGUUACUUUGAGUAAAUUAGAGUGUUCAAAGCAGGCCUACGCUCUGAAUACAUUAGCAUGGAAUAACACGAUAGGACUCUGGCCUAUCUUGUUGGUCUGUAGGACCGGAGUAAUGAUUAAGAGGGACAGUCGGGGCACUCGUAUUUCAUUGUCAGAGGUGAAAUUCUUGGAUUUAUGAAAGACGAACUACUGCGAAAGCAUUUGCCAAGGAUGUUUUCAUUAA